UACGUAGGGGGCAAGCGUUGUCCGGAAUCAUUGGGCGUAAAGCGCGCGUAGGCGGCCCGGUAAGUCCGCUGUAAAAGUCCAGGGCUCAACCCUGGAAAGCCGGUGGAUACUGUCGGGCUAGAGUCCGGAAGAGGCGAGUGGAAUUCCUGGUGUAGCGGUGGAAUGCGCAGAUAUCAGGAGGAACACCGAUGGCAAAGGCAGGUCUCUGGGCCACUACUGACGCUGAGAAGCGAAAGCAUGGAGAGCGAACAGG
rnacentral:rRNA from 1 species